rnacentral:lncRNA from 1 species
UAUGAAACUUAAUACAAAGAAUUUGUAGCAUUGCAUCUGUGAUAAUGAAUCUCAUCAUUCCCACUAUGUAGAGCCAGCGACGUCGAGGAAGCAGAGGCGUCGUGGGCAUGAAUCAUCAGGGACGUUGCCGACCCGAACAAAGGCAUCCACCGAUUAGGAGCACCAUAUAUGCAACGAUGUCAAAGAAGAGGACAACACAGCUACAGGAUAAUUGUGAUGCCCUAUUGAAUUACAUGUCCCUACUCCCGUUGACGUCCUUGCCAUCAUCGCUACCACUCACACCGGCCACAUUACCAUCGUCGUCUCGCUGUGCUAGUUGAUUAUCCAACCUGUAAUGGCAGCCUAACAUGCACUGGUGGCAUUUGGAAGAAGCAUCAUCAAUUUCAUUCUAUCUCAAAAUAACAAAAGUAGUAUAGAAAAAUAGAAGCAUGGCUAGACUGGCACAAACUCUAUGCAGUGAAGAAGCACCCGAAUAAUCCAUAAGAAGCUUGGAUAUUUGUAAGCGUCAUAUUUGUGUCAUGUUUAUACAAAAUUCACAGAUAUUCGUCUCUAAUUUGGUCAUAAAGUACACACAUGACAUACUGAAAUGGACCCAAAAAAGGGUAUGCGCACAGUCCCACGAAGAUGUCAAAACAGUAGAUGGAACAUAAAAAUUAGGGAUCAACUACACUGUAUCCAGAUGAGAUCGUGAGAGCACUCAAUACCUAUCCAGAUUGAUUCAUUCCCCAACAGCAUCGUAGACUACAGGUCACGAUAGCAGAACCUGGUGGGAGGACAGGGACGCGGAGGGGGUUGCGAUCUUGCUCAUGCGCCAUCAUGGAUAAUGGUGGGCGCAGCGCCACAGCCACCGUACGAGACCUUGAAUCUCACAGGACAGUGGAUCUCACGACCACAUUGGAUACGACCUUGUUCCUGGGAGAGGGAGCCGGGGCGGCGAGGGCAUCGCGAGCUUGGC